UACGAAGGGGGCUAGCGUUGCUCGGAAUCACUGGGCGUAAAGCGCACGUAGGCGGAUUGUUAAGUCAGGGGUGAAAUCCUGGAGCUCAACUCCAGAACUGCCUUUGAUACUGGCGAUCUCGAGUCCGGGAGAGGUGAGUGGAACUGCGAGUGUAGAGGAGAAAUUCGUAGAUAUUCGCAAGAGCACCAGUGGCGAAGGCGGCUCACUGGCCCGGUACUGACGCUGAGGUGCGAAAGCGUGGGGAGCAAACAGG
rnacentral:rRNA from 1 species